ensembl:lncRNA
GGGGAAGGGAGUGCAGCGCACCCCGGCGCCACUCACCUCCAGCCUCUCCUCGCGAGCCCCGGCUGGCAGCUCGCGGCGCCACUGCUCUGGGCUCCAGAGGGCGGGGCGGGCGCAGGGGGCGGAGCCGGCCGGGCUGGCAGCGCCAGAAUUAAACCCGGAGCGCGCGGCGGCCGGGCACUGACGGCCGCGGACGGUAGCUGCGCCCUGAAGCGAGCAGGAGUGUCCCGCGGGCCUGCGGUUAGGUCGGGCCGGGAGGAAGCCUAGGCUUACGCGGCGAUCUUUUGUACCCAGGAGCCGGCCGGCCCCAGUGCGCCUGCGCGCCGCUCAGCCUGCCGCGGACCCACGAGGCACCUAGGCGCACCUCCGCCCUGCAUGCUGUCCCCGAGUUGCAGUACUUACUCCCACCGCCCCGAGUGAAAACCAUGUCCCCAGUGAGACAGGUAGGGCCGGACACGCGGGACUGGCACACACACCCCCCGCCGACCCCGCACACCGCUAAGAAACUGUUCUCCGGCCCCGGCUGAGAGGCGGGCUCGGAAGUGUGCAGGUUUCUGGUUUCCUGCGGGUGGCUCGGCCGGGACAGACUUCCCCCCCGUCUGGUCACCGAAGUGCCCACCGUGCUAUCGGAGAAAAGUCCUGGGUCCAGACGGUGCCGCGGUUCGAGGGGCUCUAAAGAAAACGUAGCGACUGCCUCGAGUUUAGGGCUGAAAGUGACUCGCUAGUUCAGUCCUAAACGCUCGAGUCGUAGAAAGUCCAAGAAGAGACCGAAGGUGGCUUGAAACAGGAGAGCUUGGGGAGGGGAGGAUCGAUUUUAUGAAAAAAACAGGUUGCAAUAAAAACCAAGUCAUAGUGGGUCUUGAGUAUGCUGCAGCUAGGAAUCUGGUGCCUGAGAAGGGACAUGGUAAUGAGAUUUAUGAGGAGGAAGUGAGGAAGAGACCCCUGGGCAAGAAGUCACCAACAUCGAACCAGACCUUCAGGACAGGUGGAAUUGGAGCAACCCUCUAGGCUAGUGACAGAUGCCAGGCAGAGGAAGUGAGCAGCGGUUCCCCUUCAGCCACAUGGUCACAAGAGGAAACACCAAUGUUCUCAGUAAACUGUGUUGCUAAGCUAGGGUGUUCAAUGCGUUUUCAGGUUAUAUACUUUCAACUAUAAUGGUCUCAUUGGGACAUAACUCCAUCAAAAGUUGAGCAGCAGCAUCAAAUAGAUGUAUUUUAGGGUAUAUAAAUAAUACCUCCCUAAAGCCCUUAAAAACAAUUUUCAGGGUUGCAGCUAUAGCUCAGCAGUACAGAACUUGCUUAGCAUGUGUGAGGCCCUGGGCUUAAUUCUCAGUUCUGCCAAACAAAAUAAACAAGUUUCCUUGCUUACCAGUGGCUCUGAUGGGCUCACAUGCCCAUUUCUGAACCUGUCACUGGGUGAAAGGAAUGCGAUGCACUGAUUAGUCAGGCUGCAGCCAAAGCUACUCACCGGAGACAGGGAUAAAGUCCGCUUCAUCCAAAGCACGGUGAUGGGGUGGGAAGGAAGUGGUUUCCCAGUGUAAAAGCAGGUGAAUGGAUGCAGCCUCUUAAAGUCUAAGGACCAGCGUUGCGCUAGGACAAAUCCAGGCUUCCAGGGCCUCUCUGAACUCACUUUUAGGUCCAGCACAGGCCGACCCACAGUCACAUUCCUACCUUGUGAAGCUUUACUUCUGUUUUUCUUGCCUUCUGUAUCGCAGAUGUCAAAGUGAGCAAAAUAUGAUGAAAGUAGGCAGAAUUCAUGCUAUAUUCCCAUUUUUAAAAACACUGUCAUAGUCAUACAAAUUGAGAAAGUCCUUAUCUUCAGCCUCACAUUAUUACUUACUGCUGGAUUGACUGAACCUGGGUCCUGCCCAGUGUCCGCUGGAACCUCCUCCCAG